rnacentral:rRNA from 1 species
UACGUAGGGUGCGAGCGUUAAUCGGAAUUACUGGGCGUAAAGCGUGCGCAGGCGGUUCGCUGUGUCCGAUGUGAAAGCCCCGGGCUCAACCUGGGAAUGGCAUGGGAAACUGGCGGGCUGGAGUGUGGCAGAGGGGGGUGGAAUUCCGCGUGUAGCAGUGAAAUGCGUAGAUAUCCGGAGGAACACCGGUGGCGAAGGCGGCUUCCUGGACCGACACUGACGCUGAGGCGCGAAAGCUAGGGGAGCAAACGGG